UUCACGGAUUACCAUGCUAUGAAAACGUCGCGGUUACAAAACCACUAAAAUUUUCCGUCAUACAGUAGUACGUAUUCGUUAUUUUUCAUGUGUCGAAAAUGCAGCCAGAAUUAGCUUGGCGCGGCAGUGCUUACCCCUUCCCCUGUUUGAUGCUGCGUGUGUCAGUGACACUAUUCCAGCAAACCCAAAAACAAGCACUCCCACCGCAAGGCGUAAAUUCUUCAAUUUAUUGAUCUCUCAAAUCGUGGUAACUGAAAUAUACCAAAUGAAUACAUUUAAAACGUUGUACACUCGUAUUUUUCCACAUGUGAGUAGCUUCAACAGUUUAGCUUCAUGAAAAAGUUCGUCAAAAACAAAACACACAUUUUCCUUUCAAAUUCAAUACACAAAGUUACUAAAAACUUACAAAGACGAAUGAUAGGCAAGGCUUAACUAGGACAGCAACUUCAUUGAGGUUAAUCACAGCCGCUGAGAGAGAAACAAGUUUGUAUGCGGGGAGGGAAAAAAAAAAAAAAAGAGCGUCAAAGAUCGCUAAUUGCGACAGAUGAUCUUGUACUAAGCACAAAUUCACAUUCGCUGGAGGAGGUAAAGUAUCACUCCCAAUUGUUUUUAGAUGAAUGCAUUUGCCAGCAUAUUGAAUUUAGUGAGUAAUGGUUUUCGUUUUCAUAUUUUGUGGUAUGACAAAGUUACUGCCGUUCGUUGCAGCUUGCGUUGAACACUGCCGGAGCGUCCGGUGAAAAAAUAGCUCCCGUUAAGGUAGCGUCAAGCUUGUGUAUUUAACGGUAAUAUAAAAGCAGUGUUGUCAAUAACGUGGUAUCGUAAUGCGUAACUAAUCUGAUUACUUUCUUUCAGUAAAGAACAAUCUAACGCGUUCAUUUGUCUAAAUCAGUAAUCUGAGUAAAAUUACUUUCCUUGAUACCUGUGCGUUACUAUUUUGUUAUUGCCCCAUAAUGUGUGUAGAAUGAAGAAUACUGUAGUCAUGGGAGUGACAUCACAUGUCACAUUUUUUAAUCGGGGAUGGAACAAAAAGGGUCACAUGUAUUACCAUGAUGCGUGAGCGCUGGGAGUUUGCGGCCAAAACAACAUAGCCUUGCUACCUCGCCAGGAUGCAAUGAAAUAGGCAGGAGAUAUACUACAAACGGCUGCAUUUGCACACUGGAAACACAGCCAUUACGUCACAUUUUUGUCCAGUAAAGAUAACAAAAAUAUCUCCGUGCGCUGCAAACUUUGCGCUGGCUCAAAAAGACUGUCCACCGCUAUAAGCAUCCAAUAGGGAAUGGGACGUACUACGUCACUGUUUGGCUAGGCCGCCAUGUUGGCAAUAUGCUUCCGGCAGGCUCAAUGGGGAUUGUAACGUGUGGUAGUGCUAACCUAAUUCCUUCGGUGUAUUAGAAAGAAAAUAUGGGUGUGCAUUGUUGUGUCACCGGGUGCAACAGUGUCUCCUGCGACAAAAACAAAAAGGGCGAGGAAAACUGGACUCACUUCUCACCGUUUUUCUGCAUGGAGGGCCAAAUAUCAGAUCACGAAGGCACGACGGAUGGCUGGGUUGCAGCGGUUCGUCGGAAAAGCAUUUCUUUUGAUCAUAUUUCUGCUGGAAUGAGAGCGUGUUCCCGUCAUCUCUACUCUUGAAAACCUGCAUAUGAAAUGCUGACAACACAUCCCGAUUGGUCACCAUAUCUCUUCUUGGGUUAUUCUGAGGUCAAGCGCACCACAUCGGAGCGUUAUGAGAGGUUGGAAAGGCAAAGAGUGCACGCUGAAACUUCAGUUUGCUCUGCUCUUACAAACACGAUCCCAAGUGUUGUUGUGAAAAGUCAAUAAAAUAUGAAUACCAAAACAUGACUUGAACAACUUCCUGACAAACUGUAACUGCUUGUUGUUUACUUCAGGUCUUCAUAAUAAACAGGUGUAAUAAUUACAAAGUCAGGUGACUUAAUUUUGUUAUUCUAUUUGGAAUAUGCAUUGACAAUGUGUGGACAGUGUUGUAGACAAGAACUGGGACUGAUAAGUUGCAAUAGAUUUAUUUCAAGUAAUGCAACUUCUCCAAUACAAUAUUUGAGCUGACAGUUUAAAAUCUUUAAAUUAGUGCAAACAAGGCCCACCCUCUGAUAGGGUCAGCAAAUAUUAUAUAAUUAUAAUAUAUACAAGUUUAACAUAAAUGUGUCUUUGUCAAAGCAGUUUAAAAACUAUUUACUGGCCUUGGGUAAAUUGCCAGACAGAAUAAAUAUGUGGUUUAAAGUUCUUGCAUUUCCAUUUUAGGUAUUGCAAGUUCUCCAACACAAUAUUUGAACUGACAGUUUAAAAUCCUUUUAGUGCAAAAUGGCCCACACUCUGACAGGGGGUAGCAAAUAUUAUAAUACAUAAUACAUUAUAAAAAGCUAUAUACUAUAUAAAUACAAGAUCACAACAAAACCUGUAUUUUUCAAAGCAGUUAAAAAAACAUUCAGUGGCCUCAGGUAGAUAAAGGUGUAUAAAUAUGUACAUUACAGUUCUUGCAUUUCUAUUUUAGGUAUUGCAACUUUUCCAACACUAUUUGAAUUGACAGUCUAAAGUCUACAUUAGUGCAAACAAGAAUAAUUAUAAAUAAUAAUAGAAUUUAUCAAUUCAACAUUACAAUGAAACGUGUCUUUGUCAAAGUGGUUAAAAAAAACAACACUUCACUGGCCUUAGUUAAAUAGCCAGGCAGAAUAAAUAUGUGCAUUAAAGUUCUUGCAUUUUCACAAGUUAAAAGCCCGCAGUUUAUCAGCAAGAAAGGCAGACCCAGACGACGUCUGCUGCAGGGGCUUGUUUGAUUCCGACACAAGACAAAUGGAACCACUCAAUUGAACAAAUUUUCUUUGUCAAAUAAUCCAAGAAGAGAGAUGGUGACCAAUCGGGAUGUCUUGUCAGCAGGUUUACCUAGUAACACAACAGCAGAAAUAUGAUCAAAAGAAAUGCUUUUCCGACGAACCGCUGCAACCCAGCCAUCCGUCGUGCCUUCGUGAUCUGAUAUUUGGUCCUCCAUGCAGAAAAACGGUGAGAAGUGAGUCCAGUUUUCCUCGCCCUUUUUUUUUUUGUCGCAGGAGACACUGUUGCACCCGGUAACACAACAAUGCA